UGGACCGACCAUGAAUCACCUUAAAAUCCUCCCACAAAAAACACAAACCCCCGCCUGCUGUGAGCUUCUGGACUUUUAACCAUUUUGGAAAGAUUCUGGAAGGUAUAUGAGAGCGUGAGACUGUACGAGGACGGGAUAGUAGCUGAAGGAACGUGGUGUGAAGAGGACGGCGUCUUACUACGAUGAGUGCUGCCACGGAUGACCCUAAUUCCAGAAUUCCUGAACCCGAGUCCUGUCCCGCGGAGCUGUGGAGUGUGACAAUGGUGUUUGUGUCCUGUGUAAUCAAACGCCAUUAUCACACUAAAUAGCUACAGCGUGGAAAAAGAAACACUUGUUUCACCGUGUUGGAGCAUUCUUUUUUUUUUUUUUUUUAAUUAUAUAUAUAUUUUUUUUUUAAUUUAUAGUUUAAUUAUUUAAAUGUUUCAGGUUGAUUGUCCAACAACUUGGUUUGUCACAUGUUCCACAAAUGUAGUAAGUACAGUGUACAGUAUGAUGCACACUGCAAAAAAUUCAAAGUUUGACUAACAGUUUACCAAUUUGCUUAUUUUAAUUAAUAUGGACUCAAAUCUGUCAUACAGCAUAUUGACACCAAUGUAAGCUGACACUGACAAUAAGACGACACCCUCUUUUUCACGACCUGUUUUUGGAAAAAUAUCUUUUCAGCCAAAAGUAAUGUAUGGUAUUUUUCAAUAUCAGUAAAAUAACCUGUUUGUGAGUGACUGGAAGAAAAUCCCUGAAGUUCAAUUGGCAGCACCUUUAGAUUAGCGUGUGUAAAUCUCAUGACCCAAAGAAAACCUUUUUGGUUUUUUUGGGUGGGUCGGUCUGAUAUUUGGGUCAAAUACAAUACUUCCUGAAACACCCAAACUAACCUGGCAACAUUUUGGUCUUCUUGUCUUGCAAAUUGGAAAAAAAUAACAUUAUGGUGAAGUCAAAUAUGUAAAAAAAUCUAAUAAUCUUUUGGGAAAACCCUCGUUUGGAUAAGCGGUAGAAAAUGAAUGAAUGAAUGAAUGAAUGAAUGAAUGAAUGAACUGUAAAACAAACACGUCUCUCGUCCGUUCAUCAUCGCAACACUUCCUCACUAAACAGAUUGCGAGAUGCUUUCACUGACACCCCGAACAUCACAACAACCUGUGAGCUGCAUCUAAUUUUUCCCGUUGUUGUUAAAACACAAUUACAUGUAAACUGGAAAAGGGCAAUGUAUUUUUAAAUAAUUUAAACAUUUGUCCAAAGGACUGGUUUACUAGUGUCUGUUCUCUUUAGUUGCUUAGUUGCUUUAAGUGAACAUGAUUAAACGCAGCCUCCAUUUACACCUCAAAGCACCAGGGCAGCGGAGCAGGUUUCAGAGUUGUCGUAACAUUUGAUGUCCAACUAACAAUAUCGGUUUAUAAACGCCUUACCUCCACAGCCAAGCUGAAGUUCCUCUGAACGAGUUCUUCAUUGUUCUUGGUCCCAUAACUGACGGCAUUGUGCACUUUGAGGACGCACGAGUGUCCCGACAGGAAGAGCGGCACCUGACCCUUGUGCAGCUUGGUCCGAAAAGCCCGACGGUGCAUCCCUUCACCGAAGUGUGCCUUCUCUGUGACGAUGCUGACGGGGUGGUUCUCCCCAAAGUACUGCUCUGACAGGAAGUCCUCUUUGAACAGCAGCCUGGAGCACUGGACGUCUUCCUCCUCGGCACCCGUCUCACCAGAUGCAGCUGAAGGAGAGAAUCAUUUGUCAGGUCUUUGUGGGAGGCCUUGGAGAUGGUGACACAUGCUCGACUCUCGUCCCCUGCACUUCAAAGACACGCAUAGCGCCACAAGAACCGAGGUCACUGCACGGACGAGCGCAACUCCUUUGACAGAGGUAAUGAAUCCAGAUACCUUUGCUUCACCUCUGCCAGCAGAGCGCCCUCUCUCCUCCAGGUGAUAACACGGUCGCUCGAGAUGGCUGAGAACUGACACCAAAGACUGAGACUUUGAGGGUCGCCGCUCACAGACGCCGCCUGGAUGGUCUGCACCACCUUGGGCUCUGUAUCCUUUUGGUGAUUGGUGGCACCCCCUGGUGGCCGCUAACUGUUCAUGGGACUGCACUCGUCAGUGCUGCCAGCACACUGGGGGCGCUGCGGUGGGCGGUCGGUAACUUGAAAGACGUCCCAGCGAACAGGAAGUAGUCCUCUGUUGAAAAGCUGAGAUGCCAGGAAGGAGAAGAACAAAAUGGCGGCGAGGGAGCACAGCAUGGCGAAGGUCUUGACCGGGAAAUGCUGCACGUGAGUCCCGUCCUCCAGAGUGCUUCCCGGGAAUAUGAUGACAGGCGUCAGGCCUAUCAGGGGCUCACCGCACAGCAGCCGAAUCAGGAUACCCAGUACAGCCCCCAAGAUGGCACCAUAACUAUUGGUGAUGUGGAAGAAGAGGACGCAGACGAGCUGAGGGAAAAUGAUGUUGUAGGAUAUUUGGAUGCCCACGAACCAGAACAGGACCAUGCUGGUUUUCAGUUUGGUGAAUGCCGCCCCGGUCACCCCCACCACCACUACCGUGAGGCGGAUCACAUGCUGGAUCUCUCGCUCGGACGCCUGAAAGCAGAAGAGCAGGAAAGUCACAUCCCACCCUCAACUGUCAGAUGCCAACACCCGACCUCACCUGCGGUCUCAGGAUGUUCUUGUAGAUGUUGGAUGAGAACACGGACGCCGCGGAAAGCAGGGCGGAGUCUGCAGAUGACAUCACAGCAGCGGCCACGCACGCGAUCCCCAGGAUGGAGAUGUAAGGGGGGGUGAGGUGUUGCAGCACCAUGGGCAGGACCAGCGCCGCCUCCCCCCGCUCCCAUGGUGAUGGAGAACCGUACGAUGUCGCGUUCCAGUCUGGCAGCAAAACACUCAUGACACUUUAAUGCGCUUUACCCAGAUGAUAGGAAGUCUUACCUGUGGAUGCCGCCACCGCCCCCAGCAGGACGGGAGGUAUGCCGAAGAUGAGGAUGAUGAAGGCGGCGAUAAAGCACAGACGCUUGGCCAUCAUGGGAGACGCUACCGACAGCGUCCUCUGGUGGAAGGAUUGAUACCCAGAAUUGCCCAGCGCCUGUCAGAUAGAUGUGAGGGGGGGGCACUUUAUGCAGGAAGCUAGACCACAUCCACAGGGCGACACCAUCAGGCCUCCACACCACUAGCGUGUGUGUGUGUGUGUGCUCUUACCGUAAAUAAAAAAUUAUCCAGAAGGAUCCAGAAGUUGUUGGCAUUCCAGCUGCCAAUCCAGGGAGCGUGCAACGUGUUGUUCAUUAGUGUGGAGCCGAUGUUGACCACGUGUUGACUCGCCAUAGCGAAGGGAACACAAGCCCACUGCACACACACACACUCUCCGUUAAAAUCUCUCUCUCACACACAGUUUAAAGCAGACAGGUGUACAGACCAGACUGAUGAAGAUGAGGAGCAGCUGGAUGACGUCAGUGUAGGCCACAGAGUAGAGCCCCCCCAGCAGUGUGUAUGUGAUGGCCACCCCCACCGAGAUCCAAACGCAAACAUUGAAAGAAAGGUCCAGAACCACACUCAUGGUCACACCUGUGUCACACACACACACACAUUGUUGCCGCACUACAAAUCACAUCUGACCAUGUGUAGUGCAUGUUCAUGUGUGUGUGUGUGUGUGUGUGUGCGUGUGCACAUCACCCAGGCCGAUGAGGGUGGAGGGAAGCCAGAAUACAUCAAGCAAAAUCGAUGUCACACAAAAAGCCCCCGUCAGAACUUUGCCGUAAUUGUGCUGGAAAAGAUCCAUCACGGUGAUGCAGUGUCUCUCAUGGAGCGGCUUGGCGAACAAGAGGCUACCUGUUCGAGAGCCGCAAAGUGUGAGUCAAACCGUGUUGCAUUUGUCCCUGUGGGACACUUCAACUCUGAUCUGUUGUUGUGCUAACAAGUUAUUGAUUGAUUGACAGUAAAUGUCUCAGGAAGAGAAAUCACCAAUAAUAAAAGAAGCGCUGUAUCCCAGAAUCACCGUGAUGGCCCAGGCCACGCCCAUGGAGGGGGUGUACACUAUCUCUGCCAGGCCCACGAUGAAGCCACCUCCCACCCACGUGGCUGCAGGAGGAACGGAGAUGUCACCAAGGUCACCAUUUACCAUACUACUGCCCGGAAAGAGCCUCACCCGUCAAGGUGCAGAUUCCCACCAACAUGCUAAUGUGCCGAUUGGCCAGCAGUGACAGCUCCAGGAAGGUGGUCGUAUGUUUGCGCUUUUCCCGACGGCCCUUGAAGUAAGCCCAGAUGCCGAUGCCGAAAACCAGCACGUAGAAGAAGAACAUGGCUAUGGCUCCUGGAAUGUUGACGGCCAUCUUGGACUAGAAGGUGAACAAAUACUCACAAAUACUUCACAUAACUUACUCAAAGCAAAAAUUAUUUUUUCAACCGUAACCAAAACUUAUAAUGUCUUUAAUCAUAAAAUCAUCAUUAAACAUGAUUCUUUCUAAUCGGACAACA